rnacentral:rRNA from 1 species
AUUGAACGCUGGCGGCAGGCCUAACACAUGCAAGUCGAGCGGAGCGGCGGACGGGUGAGUAAUGCCUAGGUGUCAGCCUGGUAGUGGGGGGGAACGUACGGAUACGGGCGGUAAUACCGCAUACAAUCAGAUGAGCCUAGGACGGAUGAGCUAGUUGGUGGGGUAAAGGACUACCAAGGCGACGAUCCGUAACUGGUCUGAGAGGAUGAUCAGGCACACGGGAACUGAGACACGGUCCAGACUCCUACGGUAGGCAGCAGUGGGGAAUAUUGGACAAUGGGCGAAAGCCUGAUCCAGCCAUGCCGCGUGUGUGAAGAAGGUCUUCGGAUUGUAAAGCACUUUAAGUUGGGAGGCGUUACCAACAGAAUAAGCACCGGCUAACUUCGUGCCAGCCGCCGCGGUAAUAC